rnacentral:tRNA from 3 species
UGUAAAAUAAGCUAAGAUUUCCAAGCUAUUGGGUUCAUACCCCAAAAAUGAACCGUGUUCUUUUACAU